GUCGAGUAAUUCCAGGUAACUUCGUUCGGGACGAAGAGGUCGUGGGUUCAAAUCCCGCCACCCCGACA
rnacentral:tRNA from 1 species